rnacentral:lncRNA from 1 species
AGGAUCCUUCAUUAAGCUCAAUCAAAAUUAUCGAAAAAAAAUCCUUUACUUGAUCAAUCUUAAAGAGAUAAAUUUCGUAGAGAGAGAAUAAUUCUAAGGAAAGAAAAUUUGUAGAGAGAGAAAAUGAGAUUUUUCUAAAGGAAGAAAGUAGAGAGAAGAUAAAGAGAGAAAGUGGGAAGAGAAACAAGAAAAAUGGUAGAAAACCAAACUGAAGCAGAGGAGGGCUUUUUUUAAGAGAAACCUAGUAAUUGCUGGCCAAAAAACAGGGUUUGAUGCUCGAGGAAGGAGAAGACAGUAAGAAGAAUUUUUACCUUAUCUCUGUCAACGUUUGGACACGAUUUCAAUAGAUUUGAAGGAAAAUUUUAGAAGAAGA